rnacentral:rRNA from 1 species
CCUACGGGAGGCAGCAGUGGGGAAUUUUGGACAAUGGGGGCAACCCUGAUCCAGCAAUGCCGCGUGUGUGAAGAAGGCCUUCGGGUUGUAAAGCACUUUUGUCCGGAAAGAAAACUUCGUCCCUAAUAUGGAUGGAGGAUGACGGUACCGGAAGAAUAAGCACCGGCUAACUACGUGCCAGCAGCCGCGGUAAUACGUAGGGUGCGAGCGUUAAUCGGAAUUACUGGGCGUAAAGCGUGCGCAGGCGGUGAUGUAAGACCGAUGUGAAAUCCCCGGGCUUAACCUGGGAACUGCAUUGGUGACUGCAUUGCUGGAGUAUGGCAGAGGGGGGUGGAAUUCCACGUGUAGCAGUGAAAUGCGUAGAGAUGUGGAGGAACACCGAUGGCGAAGGCAGCCCCCUGGGCCAAUACUGACGCUCAUGCACGAAAGCGUGGGGAGCAAACAGGAUUAGAUACCCUGGUAGUCCACGCCCUAAACGAUGUCAACUGGUUGUCGGGCCUUCAUUGGCUUGGUAACGUAGCUAACGCGUGAAGUUGACCGCCUGGGGAGUACGGUCGCAAGAUUAAAACUCAAAGGAAUUGACGG